rnacentral:rRNA from 1 species
GACGAACGCUGGCGGCGUGCUUAACACAUGCAAGUCGAGCGAUGAAGCACCUUCGGGUGUGGAUUAGCGGCGAACGGGUGAGGAACACGUGAGGAAUCUGCCUUCCACUCUGGGAUAACUCCGGGAAACCGGGGCUAAUACCGGAUAUUUUCAACUGGCGGCAUCGCCGGUUGAAGAAAGUUUUUCGGUGGAAGAUGACCUCGCGGCCUAUCAGCUUGUUGGUGCGGUAAAGGCUCACCAAGGCGACGACGGGUAGCCGGCCUGAGAGGGUGACCGGCCACACUGGGACUGAGACACGGACCAGACUCCUACGGGAGGCAGCAGUGGGGAAUAUUGGGCAAUGGAGGAAACUCUGACCCAGCGACGCCGCGUGAGGGAUGAAGGCCUUCGGGUUGUAAACCUCUUUCAGCAGGGAAUAAGCGAAAGUGAAGGUACCUGCAGAAGAAGCACCGGCUAACUAUGUGCCAGCCGCCGCAGUAA